CAGAAAAUUACUUUUCAAUGAAUUUCAAAAUGCAAAUGAGAGUGGCAAAAUUUCAGUAUCUUCUCCUUUGCCUUCAGAUGGUGCUUCACCCUGAAUUUGAUCCAGCUGCUACUCUACUAGUUCUCUAAUGAGUUGAGUGUACAUCUACGUAUAUCUCGCAUUUGAAUACAAAUUAGACUGUUAAAGAAUGGUGAAAUGAAACUCGUAUAGCCUCGGAAAUUGGUUCAGAUGCUAUUGGCGCCACGGAAAAAGUGGAUUCACAAUUGUCUGGACAUGGAAAUAAGCUUCAGUUAUUUCCC
rnacentral:misc_RNA from 1 species